UGGGGAAUUUUGGACAAUGGGGGAAACCCUGAUCCAGCCAUCCCGCGUGUGCGAUGAAGGCCUUCGGGUUGUAAAGCACUUUUGGCAGGAAAGAAACGUCGCGGGUUAAUACCCCGCGAAACUGACGGUACCUGCAGAAUAAGCACCGGCUAACUACGUGCCAGCAGCCGCGGUAAUACGUAGGGUGCAAGCGUUAAUCGGAAUUACUGGGCGUAAAGCGUGCGCAGGCGGUUCGGAAAGAAAGAUGUGAAAUCCCAGAGCUUAACUUUGGAACUGCAUUUUUAACUACCGGGCUAGAGUGUGUCAGAGGGAGGUGGAAUUCCGCGUGUAGCAGUGAAAUGCGUAGAUAUGCGGAGGAACACCGAUGGCGAAGGCAGCCUCCUGGGAUAACACUGACGCUCAUGCACGAAAGCGUGGGGAGCAAACAGGAUUAGAUACCCUGGUAGUCCACGCCCUAAACGAUGUCAACUAGCUGUUGGGGGCCUUCGGGCCUUGGUAGCGCAGCUAACGCGUGAAGUUGACCGCCUGGGGAGUACGGUCGCAAGAUUAAAACUUAAAGGAAUUGACGGGGGUCAUAGCUGUUUCCU
rnacentral:rRNA from 1 species